ensembl:lncRNA
AUUUCAGACCACAUUCUGCUGUUUAGAAAACCACUAGAUGCACCUACCAAACGGAGAGGGAAACUGGGAAAUGGAAUCUUCUUUGUGCUCAAGAAAACAUAAAUAAGAUGGGCCUGGUGUCCACUGGAACCAAUUGAACACAAUUUGAGAGAAGCUGAUCUGACUCAACCCCUCAUGUUAGAGGUGAAGUCAUUGAGACCCAAAGAUGUCAUCUGCCAACUGCCAGAAAAUCUGAGUUCCAGAUCUUCAGUGCUCCGCCCCAUCUACUGCAGUCUCCUUGUGGCAAGACAUGGCUCUCAGCAGGAUCUCCUCCUUUCCUGUGUUUGCAAAUCAUCUCACCAGCAACUGCCCACCAUAAGUGCCCUCCAAAACCCAUAAAGCAACGGGUCUAUAAAGGAUGUUUCACGGAAGAGCUGAAUCAAAUUAAACUACCGUUUACUUUGGCCAUAGAAGCUCUGACAAAUAAAAUGAAAGAUGCCAUUGCCAUUUUCAUCAACUAAAACAAAUCUUUGCUGGGGAGAAAAAGAGGAGAAAAAAACUAAAAUGUCACUGGCCAACACUGUCAUUCCCUGCCAUUCAGUAAAUAAACAUAAUGUCUGUUGGUUGUCA